AUGCUAGGUGAGCCUCAACUUGAUCAAUGAGCGGACACCAAACCUGUCCCAAUGUGAACUUGCUUGGAAUGAGACAGCUGAGUAAGUCAUCGAAGCAUGUUCACGGGAUUGAAGUUUGUGUUCGCUGGUCGUGGAAGGAGUUGAGGAAGGUCUUGAGUGAAAUUUACCUGUAAAAAGUUUGUAUGUUGAUUUUU